rnacentral:rRNA from 2 species
UACAGAGGGUGCGAGCGUUGUUCGGAAUUACUGGGCGUAAAGCGCGCGCAGGCGGCUUUCUAAGUCUGACGGUCAAAUGCCGGGGCUCAACCCCGCGCGUGCCGCGGAUACUGGGAGGCUGGAGACAGGUAGAGGCAAGCGGAAUUCCGGGUGUAGCGGUGGAAUGCGUAGAGAUCCGGAAGAACACCGGAGGCGAAGGCGGCUUGCUGGGCCUGGUCUGACGCUGAGGCGCGAAAGCGUGGGGAGCGAACAGG